rnacentral:rRNA from 1 species
AUGAACGCUGGCGGCGUGCCUCAUACAUGCAAGUCGAGCGAACGGACGAGAAGCUUGCUUCUCUGAUGUUAGCGGCGGACGGGUGAGUAACACGUGGAUAACCUACCUAUAAGACUGGGAUAACUUCGGGAAACCGGAGCUAAUACCGGAUAAUAUUUUGAACCGCAUGGUUCAAAAGUGAAAGACGGUCUUGCUGUCACUUAUAGAUGGAUCCGCGCUGCAUUAGCUAGUUGGUAAGGUAACGGCUUACCAAGGCAACGAUGCAUAGCCGACCUGAGAGGGUGAUCGGCCACACUGGAUCUGAGACACGGUCCAGACUCCUACGGGAGGCAGCAGUAGGGAAUCUUCCGCAAUGGGCGAAAGCCUGACGGAGCAACGCCGCGUGAGUGAUGAAGGUCUUCGGAUCGUAAAACUCUGUUAUUAGGGAAGAACAUAUGUGUAAGUAACUGUGCACAUCUUGACGGUACCUAAUCAGAAAGCCACGGCUAACUACGUG